CUUUUAUUGUGAAAACUGAGUAAGAUAAGCCAUGUUAUAUGCUGAUACAGUGCCUAGCAAUAGUGAAUGCCUCCAAAACUUUAGCUGUUACAUCAUCUCAUCACCAUCAUCAUUAGUGUGAAAACUUCCUGACCCCUCAAGAGGGGAUGAGGCGCUGUAUGCAUUUCCAGUACAAGUAUUCCACCUUUUAUAACAUCUAUCAUGGUUUACUACACAUUGUCACCUUUACCUUUCUGCUUCUUGACUAAAUCUUAAACUAAACUCUCUAGUUGGAGGUUUGGCAGUUGUAUCCCCAAACUAGAGUGCCCUGGAUGGCACAGAAUGUUGUAGCUAUGCAACUCACCAAUUUUGCUGGUCCCUGUGAUCAGAAUUUACGCUGAGAAUUGCUGCCCGUUCUGAAAGCAUCAGUGUUUAAGUUGUUGUAACAUUUCUUCUGAAUCAGACCAGACUUUCACUUCAGAACAAUAAGUAACAAUUCCUUCUAAGAAAUCUCGGCUCACUGCAACCUCCGCCUCCUGGGCUCAAGCGAUUCUUCUGCCUCAGCCUCCUGCGUAGCUGGGAUUACAGGUGCAUGCCACAACCACCUGGCUAAUUUUUGUAUUUUUUAGUAGAGACGGGGUUUCACCAUAUUGGCCAGGCUGUUCUCGAACUCUUGACCUCCGGUAAUCUGCCCGCCUCGGCCUCCCAAAAUGCUGGGAUUACAGGCAUGAGCCACCGCACCCGGCCAUAGAUUUUUUAGUGAGUUAGAAAUGAAUGUAAAUUUCCUUUUAUAGGAGUUAGACAUUUAUUUUUAACAAUUAACCACUGAAUUCAUUUUCAGAAAUAGGCCUGAAUUGCUUGUUAAUUUCAUUACAGGAAGUAACUCUAAAAGCCAAUUCCACUUCCAAACUAUAAUUACCAUCAUCUGAAUUUAACAGGGAAAGACAUCUUCCAAGACUUCUUUUGGGCGGAUGCUUAGUUUUAGAAUAGCCAACUUUACCCUAACCCAUGUACAAGACAGUUCUCCAGGUGGCCUUGGACUGACCCAGUUCUCCCUUCUUCCUUGCUUGUAGUUCUUAAGAAUAACUGUAGAAUGCACUGGGAAUGCAAUAUCCUGAUAUGGAGGAACUGCCUGAAACAGGUUGGCCUUGUUGUUGUCCCUCCUAGGGAAUGUAACAUCUUGAUUUAGGGAACUGUUUGAGACAGCGAGGUUGUGUUCCUCUUUCCCCUGGAAGGAGGAUGUACUUUAAAGCUUUGCCCAAUGAGUUAUGUGGCUCCUAUGGUAUAUAACCCAAGGCAGGCUGUGGUGCAAGUGGGGCACGUACAAUCAAGACUCCAUCAGCCCCGCCCUGGGCAGCUUUCUUGAGCCCUGGGGGACUGGCUCACAAUGGAGCCAGGGCCUCUUUUGUCCCUUGCUUCCUGUCUGUAAGUAAUAAAUCUGCUUCAUGUAAUGUAUUGGGUGUGAGUGUGUUCUGUCACAAUGGAAUCAGACAGGUUGGUAACCAGUGUACACUGAACCUGCUUGGCACCAUGUAGCCCUGGGAAAGGAGAAAGGCGGUCACAGCUUGCCCUAUAUGGUGAUGCCAGCACACUGUGCACUGUACUGUGCAACAGAAAAAGGUGCACUGAGGAGGAUCGGCUGCUUCUUCCCAUUGUUGCUUCUUUAGUAAAUCCCCUAUGAGUUUUUAGUCGCUUUCUAAUCUACAAGUUAAAGGAUAUCUCAUUAAUUUUACAGAUAUAUACAUAUACUGUAACAAUAGGAAGGAAGUCUUUCACCAACCACUAAUACUGUAAAGAAAGCAUUGUAUCGAUCUAGUAUUAUUUAAUGAAGACGGACAGCAAUUUUAAUACAAUCUUCUUUUCCAAGACCUUUGACAGACCUUAGGCCCAUUUUCCACCUUUAUGUCUAGGAAAGUAUAAGUAAAACACUUUUGAGGGCAUAAAAAACACAAGCUUCUUGUUAAGGUGUAUCAGUAGCCAGGGAAAUCUGCUGUGCCCCUUUGAGGGUCAUCUAACUAAGGCAUGGAGAAAGAAACUGCCUCAAGUCAGUUUCUAUCACCUCUGCAGGGAAGCUGGCCAUGCAAACCAGGACAUGGUUCAAAGUGAAAAAGAGUGUGGUUAAUAAUCAUGCCAGAACACCAGGUAUAAGAUGUAAGGGCAAGUCAGGCAUUCUGUACAUUGCUUCUCCCUUCAGUUUGGAAAACUCACUGCAGUAGGGUUUUGACUUAUCGUUUCACAAGACAGCUAGGAAGGCCAGGCACAGUGGCUCACACCUGUAAUCCCAGCACUUUGGGAGGCCAAGACGGGUGGAUCACGAGGUCAGAUCGAGACCAUCCUGGUUAACACGGUGAAACCCUGUCUCUACUUAAAAUACAAAAAAUAGCCGGGUGUGGUGGCGGGCGCCUGUAGUCCCAGCUACUCAGGAGGCUGAGGCAGGAGAAUGGCGUGAACCCGGGAGGCGGAGCUUGCAGUGAGCCGAGAUCGCGCCACUGCACUCCAGCCCGGGUGACAGCGCGACUCUGUCUCAAAAAAAUAAAAAAAAUAAAAAAAAAUAAAAAACAAGACAGCUAGGAGGAAAGCCUGUAUGCUUUGGAAAAUGCAUAUCUUGUGUGUUUACCCUUUUAAAGGUAACUAUACUUUGAAACAGGUGAACUGCAGAAAGUUAACAAAGACUUCUUUUUUUACCAUGUUUACCUUUCUAAGAAUUCUAUGCAUUUCCUAGGGCAUACAUGCAAAAGCCUUCACAUUUCCCCCUUUUUAAAAGAGAUAUUUCUCAAACUUAUACGUAUACAGUUCAGUAGUGUUAAGUACAAUCACACUUGUUUUGCAACAGAUCUCUAGAAUUCUUGCAACACAAGCUCUGUACCCACUAAAUACAAAUUCACCCUCUCCCCUUCCCCCAACCGUUGCUUGGCAACCACCUUUCUACUUUCUAUUGUAUGAUUUUGACUACUUUGCAUACUUCACAUGGAGGAAUCAUAUAGCAUUUGUUCUUUUGUUGGCUGGCUUAUUUCACUUGGCAUAAUGCCUUCAAGGUUCAUCCACAUUGUACAUUUGACAGGAUUUCCUUCUUUUUAAAGGCUGAAUAAUAUUCCAUUGACUGUAUAUACCACAUUUCCUUUAUCUAUUCAUCUGUUGAUGGACAUUUGGGAUGCUUCCAGAACCUCUUGGCUAUUGUGAAUAAUGCUGCUAUGAACAUGGGUGUACAAAUAUCUCUUUGAGAUCCCGCUUUGGUGGUAAUUCUUAUGGUAAUUCUGUUUUCAGUUAUUUGGGAAACCUGUGUACUGUUUUCCGUAAUGACUGCACCGUUUUACAUUACCACCAACAGUGCACAAGGGUUUCAACUUCUCUGCAUCCUCCCCAAUACUUGUUAUUUUUUUGUUCUUCUGAUAGUGGCCAUCAUGAUGGGCGUGAGACGAUAUCUCAUUGUGGUUUUGAUUUGCAUUUCCCUAAUAAUUGGCAAUGUUGAGCAUAUUUUCAUGUUCUUAUUGGCCAAUUGUAUAACUUCUUUGGAGAAAUGUCUGUGCAAGUCCUUUGCCCAUUUUUAAAAAUUGAGUUAUUUGGUUUUUUGUUGUUGAGUUGUAGAAGUUCCUCAUAUAUUCUGGAUUUGGGCUCCUUAUAAGAUAGACGAUUUGCAAUUAUUUUCUCUCAUUCUAGAGCUUGCGUUUUCACUUUGUUGAUUGCUUCCUUUGACACACAGACAUUUUUAAGUUUGAUGUAGUCCCGUUUCCUUCCUAACGAUCUUUAAGUGUACAGUUCAGUAGUGUUAAGUAUAUUCAUCCAACCCUAUCUUGCAGACCAGAUGACAAACAUAUUAAUGAAAGAAAUACUACCAGUCAUUGACGCAACAGAGUCUGAACAUAGGCUUAGAGGCAUUCAGAAACAUUCCAAGAUAUUUAUAAGCAAGAGCCACAGGAGCAUGAAUUCCUCAGAAUAUGUAGAAUUAUCUAGAUUUUAGCCUAUCUGACAAGUUUCUCUCCCUAUUACCAUAACAAAAGUCUUUUAAACCACUGUAUAAACUGAGAUAUUUAAGUUAAUCACCUGCCUUGCAAAGAACCUUGACUAAUGAGUAAAUAAAGUUCAGACAGUUGUAAAGGGAAGACGGGAUAGCUCUUUCACUGUAGAAAACAUUAUCAUUAUAUACUAUGUAACAGCGUGCAAAUAAUACAAAAUAAUAAUAUAAACUAUAGGCUAUUAGAUUACUAGUCCUUUGAAAAAUAUUUCUGGAAGGCCGGGCAUUUUCUUUAAAAUGUUCUGCAUAUAUUUCCUAUAUGAUCAGACCUUUAAGCAAAAUAUCUGAUCUUCGGAAAUGCAAAGGGAUUUCUGGGUAUAGGAAAAGUCUUGUUUUCUUAUAAUUACAAAAUAUAUUUUCUACAUCAUAAACUGAUAGUAAGUAAGCAUAUCAUGUCCUUGUAACAACUAAACACUGGGGCAAAUAUACUGACUGAUAAGCCCUUAUGAAAGAAUACACAUUCAUGUUAUAAAAUAAAAUACAUCUAAAACCAUGGCCAAUAUUCAGCCAGGAAGUACCAGUCUGGGCCCAUAGGCUGUUUCUGCAAGGCCUGAGUUCUGGUCAGUGUCUGUGCCUUACCACAUGUUAAAAAUUUUGAUUAUAAUCCCUAUGUAUAGUGCUAUAGAACCACUAAUGGAUAAACAUAAAAAGAUAGCUCAAAAAUGUCAGACAUAAAAAGAUAUUACAAGCUGGGCCAGGCGGCCAGCACCUGUAGCCCCAGCUACUCUAGAGGCUAAGGCAGGAGGACUGCUUGAGCCUAGGAGUUCAAGGCUGCAGUGAGCUAUCAUUUGGCCACUGCACUCUAGCCUGGGCAGCAGAGCAAGACCUAGUCUCUUAAAGAAAAAAAAAAGGCAUUACAAUUACCAACAGGUAUCUGUAAGAGAAACUUGUGUCUCUUGCUGGUACCGAAUAGCCUUCCUCAAAGACUGAUGAAGCACUCUCAUGCUAAGAAAUGCACAUCUGUAAAUAUUAUCAAAUGCAGGCACUUAGAAUAGUCUAGUUAACAAUUUAUAGUAAGCUAGUAUAUAUUAAAGCAAAAGCAAAAUACUGCCUAGAUAUGAAUGUUUUAGGGGGUUGCUUGGCUGGUGGCCGGCUUGGGUUUCGCUUGUACAUUCAGCACAUAAUCAUGCCGGAAGGAUGAACGAACAGUGCGAUUCAUCAGUGGCUGAAGGGGGCGGAAGUUGUCCACCAUUCUUUUCUCUUUCUCCCCUUCGGAAGUGAAA
rnacentral:lncRNA from 1 species